rnacentral:rRNA from 1 species
CACAAUGUGCAGUGGAUCACUCGGGUCGUCGAUCGAAGAAGAACGUUGCAAAAUGCGAUAAUUUCCGUGAAAUGCAGAUCUAUUUGAACGGAAAAACUUUGAACGCAAAUGGCAGCUGCGAAUACCAUAUUCGGAGCUACAUCCGUCUGAGGAUCG